AAUCGUAAGAUGACGUAUACGGUGUGACGCCUGCCCGGUGCCGGAAGGUUAAUUGAUGGGGUUAGACUUCGGUCGAAGCUCUUGAUCGAAGCCCCGGUAAACGGCGGCCGUAACUAUAACGGUCCUAAGGUAGCGAAAUUCCUUGUCGGGUAAGUUCCGACCUGCACGAAUGGCGUAAUGAUGGCCACGCUGUCUCCACCCGAGACUCAGUGAAAUUGAAAUCGCUGUGAAGAUGCAGUGUACCCGCGGCUAGACGGAAAGACCCCGUGAACCUUUACUACAGCUUGGCACUGAACAUUGACCCUACAUGUGUAGGAUAGGUGGGAGGCUUUGAAGCACGUACGCCAGUAUGUGUGGAGCCGUCCUUGAAAUACCACCCUUGUAGUGUUGAUGUUCUAACGUCGACCCCUAAUCGGGGUUGCGGACAGUGCCUGGUGGGUAGUUUGACUGGGGCGGUCUCCUCCCAAAGAGUAACGGAGGAGCACGAAGGUGGGCUAAUCACGGUUGGACAUCGUGAGGUUAGUGCAAUGGCAUAAGCCCGCUUGACUGCGAGAAUGACAAUUCGAGCAGGUGCGAAAGCAGGUCAUAGUGAUCCGGUGGUUCUGAAUGGAAGGGCCAUCGCUCAACGGAUAAAAGGUACUCCGGGGAUAACAGGCUGAUACCGCCCAAGAGUUCAUAUCGACGGCGGUGUUUGGCACCUCGAUGUCGGCUCAUCACAUCCUGGGGCUGAAGUCGGUCCCAAGGGUAUGGCUGUUCGCCAUUUAAAGUGGUACGCGAGCUGGGUUUAGAACGUCGUGAGACAGUUCGGUCCCUAUCUGCCGUGGGCGUUGGAAGAUUGAAGGGGGCUGCUCCUAGUACGAGAGGACCGGAGUGGACGAACCUCUGGUGUUCGGGUUGUGUCGCCAGACGCAUUGCCCGGUAGCUAAGUUCGGAAUCGAUAACCGCUGAAAGCAUCUAAGCGGGAAGCGAGCCCUGAGAUGAGUCUUCCCUGAUACUUUAAGUAUCCUAAAGGGUUGUCGGAGACUACGACGUUGAUAGGUCAGGUGUGUAAGUGCUGUGAGGCAUUGAGCUAACUGAUACUAAUUGCCCGUGAGGCUUAACCAUACAACACCCAAGG
rnacentral:rRNA from 1 species